GGGGGGGGGGGGGGGGGGGGGGGGGGGGGGGGGGGGGGGCCGCGCUCCCAGAGACGGGCGCGGUGACGGCCGGCAGCCGGGGCUCUGGCGUCGGGCGGCAUGUGCCGCUGCCCGACGGAAGAUGGGCUGUACUGCCUGUGCCUGGCCCCUGUUAGCCUGGAGAAAUUAUUUAAGAAGCUGAUUAUGGAUUCAGGAAGCAGAGUAGCUGCAGUUUUCAUCUGCUCUGAGGAGGAAGAAAGAAAGAAGAUUGAAGCUGCAACCAUGUUGUGAAGGAUUGCACUUUAGCACUGUUUGCUUUAGGAUGAUAACAGAGGAAAUUAGAAUACAGUGUCAUCUCCCUGAUUGCCAGACGGUACCGUGACCCUUCACUUGCAAUAGCUUUAAAUGCAAAUAGAAAGAAGUAGAAAGAAGUUUUUUUCCUUGGCCGUAUGACUUGAGAGAAUGAACUACCUUAGAAGUUUGAACUGGUGGGAGAGCAGCAUUGUAAGAUGAGAGAAAUAGAGAGUGAAAGCCAAGCCACAAAUAACUGCAACAUUGUGAUCCCUUAAGCCCCACAGUUCGAAAGGAAAAAAAAAAAUCUCCUCGUUGAGAAUUCAGGGCGGGCAGGGGAAAUAUAAUGGGCGAACCGCAAGAUGGAAAACCGGUUCCAGACUGUGAUGUUCUAGUGACGCAAGCUGAGAAAGGUGCUGCGGCGCAACUGUGCUCUCCUGAGACCCGGCAGGAGUCAUUCCUAUAGGAGAGAAACCACAUGGAGACAGUGAGUAAGGGAAAUUUUAACAGUAAAGUAGACUGGAAGAGACUGAAAAUCCAAACUGUUUUCGUAAAACAAUUCCGCGUCUGAGUGGAAAACAAUGAGCCCUUAUCCACAAGUGAAAUGACGAUAGAGCACGUACUGGGCGUUCUGCUCAACAGCUGACAAAGUAAAGGAAAAGGGGUGGAGGGGAAAAGAGAAGUAAUCCUGAAAAAAAUUCUACUUGGGUGGAGCAGAGUGCUGGUAGGGAAAAUUUAGUGAAUAUGUCCACAAUGGUCAUGGGUAAAUGGAAGAUAGGAAUGUUUCUCAUAAUGAAGAAGGGAUUAAUUCCUGGAUCAAGUCAUGUCUCAGGUAGUUCUAGAACUAUCAAAAGUGAUCUGAAACCAGAGCUAGCAGAUCCUCUGCCACCCAUUAUGAAGGAUUAAUCUCUACCAACUGAUUUGCAGAGUACCAGAUCCUCUGCCACCCAUUAGGAAGGAUUAAUCUCUACCAACUGAUUUGCAGAUAAUCCAAGGAAGUAAUUUUUUUUCUUUUCUUUGCCAAGAGACCCUCCGUGUUUAAGUUAAACAAUCUGAAUCAUGGUGACUGAGAUGUGGGAGCCAUCUUUUCCUCAUUUGUCUUCACGGAAGAUUUUUCCCACAAAUGUUGAAUACGAUUCUUGAACAGGAUGAUUGUAAAAGGUUAGAUGACAGGUGGCCCUGCCUACAGACGCCAGCAUUAGCUGAGUUGGCAUUAGCGUUGUGCUAAUAAUGCUCCAGGUUGUGGAUUUGAUCCCCAUAGACUUGAUGAUCCUUGUGGGUCUCUUCCCAUUCCAAAUAUUCUUAUUCUGUAAUGAGGAAUUUAUCAUGUGACUUCUCUGAAUGAAAUGGGAAAUUGAAGAGUCUAGAGACUAGUCUCCCAAAUUCAAAUCCAUAUAAAUUAAGCAUUUGUUAAAACCUUGUUCCUUUCUUGAUUACCUGAGACCUCCCUUUAUGUUCUGAAGACUCACAACAGGAAAUUAAAUUGUUACAUUCUUGGUGCAGGUUUGCCUCCUUCUCUGAGAUGCAAAGUUUACACUGACUAGGUAUGGCUUAAUAGUAUAUUUUUGUACAUGUAUCCUAUAAUAUUUGAUUGCUUCUAGGAAUGUUUAGUCAUGGCACCACAGAACAUUUUGUGCUUAAUACUAAACAUUUGCAUGAAUUCUUGGAACUAGGUUGGGUGCAUAUGAGGAAGAAACUGAAUCUGAAGUGAAAAGAAAUGUUAUGAGGACUGAGUUCUAAAAUUGGCUACAUUGCUAAUGCUAAUGAAAUGUGAAUUUUAACAUACACAGUUGGCAUUGAUGAUACAUUGCUCAAAACCAGAUAAAAAAUUCCUGUAAAAAGCCUUUAUUCCCAGAGCUUCUUCAUGUGUAGGCAUGGAAAAAAAGGCAGGUACUUUUACAUUAACUGGUAGACAGUUUUUCAUUGACCAUUCUCUUUACAGGUGCAUAAAGGACAUAGUGCCUCCAGCUUCAGAUUGGUCCUAAUUCAGUAAUACAUUCCCAAAUUUUUUCCUGUACAAUUCCCUUAUGUGAGCAAGUGAUUUCUUCUUACCCUCCCAAAUAACCUUGAAAAGUAGAUCUUUACCUGAUCCUGCAAUUUUCUGUGCCCUGCGUCCCAUUGCUGCUGUGGAGAGGCUGUGUGCUCUCUCCCCGAUCAGAAAACAAUGAAUGAAGAUGGCAUAUGCUGGAGACUGAGGGUUAAUACCUGAGAAUCACUGGUGUCUUAAUCUUAAAAAAACACCCAACCCUGUAAUUCCUUCUUGAUUGGUGAACUAACCUCAAACAGGGUGAAUAGAACUGCUGCCUCUUUCUGUAUCUGAGUAUGGAAUUAAAGCAAUUAUUCUGCUGUUAUCUUCACAUUAUGAGACACUUUGGAAUCCUUAUGGCUGUAUCAGCAUAUAUCUAAGUGUCAGAUUUAUCCCUCCUUGGUACCAGACAGACCAAGGUCCAGAUCCUGGGCUGUGCCUCAGUCAAAGCUGCGGUGUUGUACGUACUGUCUGUGGACAAACAUGUAAAUGUGCCUGUACCUCUGCAGAGGAACUCUCUUAAACUCCCCUCUCCCUUUUUGACAAUUUCAUAGCCUGUACCAUUCCUCCGUGUAAUCCCAGUCUCUUCUUGGGAGAGUUUGGAGUCUCCUGUUGGGGCAUCCACAUUUCAAGAAGAGAUAAUUUGAUCAUGGUGGGUGAAAGAGGAAUGUUUAGGAGGAUUUCACUUAGCAGUACAUGGUAAACAAAUGGGAAUGGUCAAAAGCCACAACCCAAGCUGGAGUCCAUUCCCAUAUCAUUCAUGCACUUUUAAAGUAGACACUUUGCCUACAGGUGGACACAAUUCAUUAGUGGGCCUAAGUGCAUGCUCCACUGGAGGAAUGAAACUUUAACUAAACUUUUUUUGUGUGGUAUGUCGCAGUAGGUCAAACUGGGCCUAAUGAGAAGAUCAAACCUAUUUAUGUGUGUCAGUGCUUUGUUGGAUUUUAGUACUCUAGACUUCCAAAAAUUAAAUUUCAAAAUGUUUAACUAAUGAUACUGAAAGCCAAAGUUGAGGCAAAGUUGAGGUUGCAAGUACAGAAUGAUCAAGUCAAUCUAUCUCAAUAAACAGCAAUAAAGAUAUUAAUUAUUUAUGAGGCAUUAGUGGGAAAUAUAUAUAUAUAUAUAUAUAUAUAUAUGUGUGUGUUUAUUUAUUUAUUUAUUUAUUUAUUUAUUUAUGUAUAAUUUUCACUUGGCCCUAGUGAGAUUGCAUCUGGAGUUCUGUGUCCAGUUCUGGACCCAUCCUGCGAUCCUGUGUCUUGUGCCUUGUUUGGCUACCAGUUAUAUUUCAUAGUUAGUUGGUUAUUCCUAGCUUUACCAACAAUGGGUGUUGUGUUAGAGACAUGUGUCCUUAGGAAUGAAACAGAGAGAUUCAGACAUGAGAGAUUAUUGAUGUAAUAUCAAGUAAAAUCAAAAUAUCCCUGUAAAAUAUAUGAAUUAUUCACAAUGUAAUUAAAGUGCUUAAAGCUAAAUGAAGUUCAUCUCAUGUUUGUUCAGUAUGUGAUAGGAAAAUAUUUUGUUUUUUUUAACUGAGUAAAUU
ensembl:lncRNA